AUGACGAAGGGAACGUCAUUGUUUGGGAAGCGUCGUAAUAAGAUGCACAUGUUGCAUCUCUAAAGCCUACCACCUUCAAAAGUCGACCUGAGGCAAAUGUGGCUACCCUGCCAAGCACAAGAGAAAGUAUAACUGGAGUGCCAAGGCUAAAAGACGAAAUACCACCGGGACUGGUCGAAUGAGGCACCUAAAAAUUGUAUACCGCAGAUUCAGGCAUGGAUUCUGUGAAGGAACGACACCUAAAUCCAAGAGGGCAGCUGUUACAGCAUCCAGUUCAUCUUAAGAAUUUCACCGAUUAGUCAUGCAAUAAAUGUUCUGAUUUUAAAAA